GGAAAGUCCGGACUUCAAUAAAGUAAAAAUGGAUGGUUAAUAACCGUUUUGAAAAACCAUGAGGAAAGUGCUGCAGAAAUUUUGAUAAUUAUUUUAUUAUCAAUGUAAUGAUUACAAAAAUCAUCAAAAUUUGUAAUAAAAUUGUUUUUAAUAUAAGCAAACCCCAUUAUGAAGCAAGGUUUUUAUAGGAAAAAAUAUACUUUUUCAUUUCCUAAAAUUAAAAAUAAAACCGCUAAAAAAAUUUAGUAAUAAAUUUUUUAGAUAGAUAAUCACAAUUUAGAUAUUUAAAUCUAAAUAACAAAAUCCGGCUUAA
rnacentral:RNase_P_RNA from 1 species